rnacentral:sRNA from 1 species
UAUGAAUUGGUCGUGCUCUACAAUAGCUUU